CCUACGGGAGGCAGCAGUAGGGAAUAUUGCUCAAUGGGGGAAACCCUGAAGCAGCAACGCCGCGUGGAGGAUGAAGGUUUUCGGAUUGUAAACUCCUUUUGUCAGAGAAGAAAAUGACGGUAUCUAACGAAUAAGCACCGGCUAACUCCGUCCCAGCAGCCGCGGUAAUACGGAGGGUGCACGCGUUACUCGGAAUUACUGGGCGUAAAGAGCGCGUAGGCGGGAUUGCAAGUCAAAUGUGAAAUCCUAUGGCUUAACCAUAGAACUGCAGUUGACACUGUUAUUCUAGAGUAGGGGAGAGGAAGGUGGAAUUCUAGGUGUAGGGGUAAAAUCCGUAGAGAUCAAGAGGAAUACUCAUUGCGAAGGCGACCUGCUGGAACAUAACUGACGCUGAUGCGCGAAAGCGUGGGGAGCAAACAGGAUUAGAUACCCUUGUAGUC
rnacentral:rRNA from 1 species